ACACCGGCGGCCCGAGUGGUGAUCGUGAUUAUUGGGUCUAAAGGGUCCGUAGCCGGUUUGGUCAGUCCUCCGGGAAAUCUGAUAGCUCAACUAUUAGGCUUUCGGGGGAUACUGCCAGACUUGGAACCGGGAGAGGUAAGAGGUACUACAGGGGUAGGAGUGAAAUCUUGUAAUCCCUGUGGGACCACCUGUGGCGAAGGCGACUUACCAGAAGGGGGUCGAGGGGGAGGGACGAAAGCUGGGGGCACGACCCGGAUGAGUUCCCCGGGUAGUCCCAGCCGUAAACGAUGCUCGCUAGGUGUCAGGCAUGGCGCGACCGUGUCUGGUGCCGCAGGGAAGCCGUGAAGCGAGCCACCUGGGAAGUACGGUCGCAAGGCUGAAACUUAAAGGAAUUGGCGGGG
rnacentral:rRNA from 1 species